rnacentral:rRNA from 1 species
AGUGAACGCUGGCGGUAGGCCUAACACAUGCAAGUCGAACGGCAGCACAGUAAGAGCUUGCUCUUACGGGUGGCGAGUGGCGGACGGGUGAGGAAUACAUCGGAAUCUACUUUUUCGUGGGGGAUAACGUAGGGAAACUUACGAUAAUACCGCAUACGACCUACGGGUGAAAGCAGGGGAUCUUCGGACCUUGCGCGAUUGAACGAGCCGAUGUCGGAUUAGCUAGUUGGCGGGGUAAAGGCCCACCAAGGCGACGAUCCGUAGCUGGUCUGAGAGGAUGAUCAGCCACACUAGAACUGAGACACGGUCCAGACUCCUACGGGAGGCAGCAGUGGGGAAUGUUGGACAAUGGGCGCAAGCCUGGUCCAGCCAUACCGCGUGGGUGGAGAAGGCCUUCGGGUUGUAAAGCCCUUUUGUUGGGAAAGAAAAGCAGCAGGUUAAUACCCCGCUGUUCUGACGGUACCCAAAGAAUAAGCACCGGCUAACUUCGUG